GGCCUAGCCCUCGGUUGGAGACGAUUUUCGGGCUAUUUUCAGCCCUCUGGACCCUUCGGUUGGAGAUGGCCUUAAGUGAUAGUCAUGAGGCCAGUCUGGGCCUAACGGUUAAACGAAUUUAAGCAAAUUUAUUAUAUAUUGUAAAAAUAAUUUUAGUUAUACUUAAAAAAACACACACACACAAUUUUAUUGGGAUAUCUAAAUUACAAAAUAAAACGACAUAUUAAUUAUAUAGUAUUAGAACAUAUUAAAACAUAGGGAACAAGCAAAUAAUAAGUAUUCAUCUAAGUAUUUAACAAGUCUUACAUUUUAUUGAAAAAUUAAAACCCAAAAUGAAAGUUAUCGAUUUUUAGUAUAAGUGAGAGUUGCAACCUAGGCGGGCUAGGUGGACGCCUAAGUAGGUCUAGGCGCACUUUCUUAAUUUUCAAACACAUAAAAACUAUCGGGGUAGUGGCCAACCGUCUAGCGCAUAGAUGAAAAUUUUUAGAACAAUGUUAGGGAUAUAAUAGUGUCCAUGAAGAGUCCUAAUUUUAAGAAUAGUUCCCUUAGUAUUUCUCAUAUAAAAUUACACAAAUUAUCAUUAUAUUUAAUGGAUUAGUUCUUAUAUUAAUAUUUCAUACUUUUUAAAAUCUAGCAGAUAAAUGUUACAUCAAUUUUUUUAACAAAUGAUAUUAUUUACAAUAACGAUGGGGGAAUGGGCUAAGUUUUACAAUAAGCUAGCAAUAAUGUGGAUGUUACA
rnacentral:lncRNA from 1 species